GCAAUAGAAUCAUGGCAGACACAAUGCAAAUAGAAGCAUGGAACGCACUUAGGUUACUGGGUUUGCCUAAUUGCGUUUCUGCCACUCCCAUGAGAGGCACAUCGUCCACCUAGACUGCUGAUCCAGGGAAGAUGAGAAAUGUGGAGCAUAUGUGAGCCCAGCACAGAGCAGAGCCCCACCCUGCCAGAUCUGCAGCUUGAAGCAGAGCUACCUACCUGUGCCCACUCCAGAUCAGCCAACACUCACCCAACCCAGUGAGAAAGAAAGGCCAUAUGAAAACACAACGGAAAGACAGCUGUCUACAAGCCAACAAGAGAGGUCUCAUUAGAAACCAACCCUGAAGUCACUCUGAUCUUGCACUGCUAGCCUCGGGAACUAAGAGAAACCCAAACACAGCGGCCCAAGGAUAUGUCAGAGGCAUAUACUUAUGUUUUCCCAUCUAUCAAAUCAGGCUGUCCAGGUGGUUUGCUGCUCUGUGGUGCUGAGGAUUCAGAGAUGAAUCAGGCUUGACCUCAAAGACACAGAACGCGUAAACAAGGGACCCCCUUUUCAACUUAUAAUUUGAUCUGGAUUCAACUCAGAGUAGCAAAUUGAAAUUAUAAGGCUGCAUUAGAAGUCACAGAACUGAUCACUAGGCAUCCAUUUUCAAGACUGUAUGAUGAAGCCAUCUUGUGGGACACCUGGGCAACUUGACUUCCCUGUGUGAUGGGUAGGUAACUCUGCU